rnacentral:rRNA from 1 species
UGGGGGAUAUUGCACAAUGGGCGAAAGCCUGAUGCAGCGACGCCGCGUGGGGGAUGAAGGCCUUCGGGUUGUAAACUUCUUUUGCUCUGAACAAGGCGCACCAUGGGGUGUGUUGAGUGUAGGGGUUGAUUAGCGCCGGCUAACUACGUGCCAGCAGCCGCGGUAAUACGUAGGGCGCGAGCGUUGUCCGGAAUUAUUGGGCGUAAAGGGCUUGUAGGUGGGUGGUUGCGUCUGUCGUGAAAGCUCAUGGCUUAACUGUGGGUUUGCGGUGGGUACGGGCUGGCUUGAGUGCAGUAGGGGAGGCUGGAAUUCCUGGUGUAGCGGUGGAAUGCGCAGAUAUCAGGAGGAAUACCGGUGGCGAAGGCGGGUCUCUGGGCUGUUACUGACACUGAGGAGCGAAAGCAUGGGGAGCGAACAGG